UAGAGUAAUACAUCGGAACGUGCCCCAGGUACGUGGGGGGAGUAACUACUCGAAAGAAGUAGCUAAUACCGCAUACGAUCUGAGGAUGAAAGCGGGGGACCUUCGGGCCUCGCGCGAUUGGAGCGGCCGAUGGCAGAUUAGGUAGUUGGUGGGAUAAAGCUUACCAAGCCGACGAUCUGUAGCUGGUCUGAGAGGACGAUCAGCCACACUGGGACUGAGACACGGCCCAGACUCCUACACGGGAGGCAGCAGGC
rnacentral:rRNA from 1 species